rnacentral:rRNA from 1 species
CCUACGGGCGGCAGCAGUGGGGAAUAUUGCACAAUGGGGGGAACCCUGAUGCAGCAACGCCGCGUGGGUGAAGAAGUAUUUCGGUAUGUAAAGCCCUGUCAGCAGGGAAGAAGGAGACGGUACCUGACCAAGAAGCCCCGGCUAACUACGUGCCAGCAGCCGCGGUAAUACGUAGGGGGCAAGCGUUAUCCGGAUUUACUGGGUGUAAAGGGAGCAUAGACGGCACUGCAAGUCUGGAGUGAAAGCCCGAGGCCGAACCACGGGACUGCUUGGGAAACUGUGUGGCUGGAGUGCAGGAGGGGUAAGAGGAAUGCCUAGGGUAGCGGUGAAAUGCGUAGAUAUGAGGAGGAACACCAGUGGGGAAGGCGGCUUACUGGACUGUAACUGACGUUGAGGCUCGAAAGCGUGGGGAGCAAACAGGAUUAGAGACCCGAGUAGUC